rnacentral:rRNA from 1 species
ACUCCUACGGGAGGCAGCAGUAGGGAAUAUUGGUCAAUGGGUGAGAGCCUGAACCAGCCAUGCCGCGUGCAGGAAGACGGCCUUCUGGGUUGUAAACUGCUUUUACCAGGGGAUAAAAAGACCAUGCGUGGUUAAUUGAAGGUACCUGGAGAAUAAGCACCGGCUAACUACGUGCCAGCAGCCGCGGUAAUACGUAGGGUGCAAGCGUUGUCCGGAUUUAUUGGGUUUAAAGGGUCCGUAGGCGGAUUAAUAAGUCAGUGGUGAAAUCCCAUCGCUUAACGAUGGAACUGCCAUUGAUACUGUUAGUCUUGAAUGAGGGUGCAGUGGUUGGAAUGUGUAGUGUAGCGGUGAAAUGCAUAGAUAUUACACAGAACACCGAUUGCGAAGGCAGAUCACUAACCCUAAAUUGACGCUGAGGGACGAAAGCGUGGGGAGCGAACAGGAUUAGAUACCCUGGUAGCUC